UUAUUUAAGCGAAAGAUUAUUCUUUGUAAUAAUAUUACUAUUUGACAGAUUUCGAAUUCAGUAAAAGAAUUCCUUUGCUUUCUUUUUCGGUGACCGCUUAUCUCUAUGUUUAAAGAUUGUAAUAAUGUUACUAUUCACUUUAAUGUUACUACUUGUAAUGUUUUCUUAUAUAUUCAUUUUGUAGGAACUAACUACUUGUUAGCUUUAUAUAAUUUAGAUGUCAGGCAAAGGUAACAAAGGUAAGGAAAAAGUUAUUCUUAUGAAAACAAAAAAGAAAAAACAACAUCCGCCGUAUAGAUGACCGACAGGUAUUCAUAUAUCCGAGGGUCGGUUUGCUGAAGCGAUAGCACGAACCUCAUAUUCUAGGUUGUUUCAUCAUUCGGUUCCUACUCCUACGCAUGUGGGGCCACUUUAGGGGUCUACACCGACUCAUUCUGCUCCUACAGGGUAAGAUUUCUAAAUAUAAUAACACUAUUCAUUUUGUCACUACUAUAUUAUUAUGCUCUAUGAAAUUACUGUUUGUUGUAGGUUUAGAACUGAUGCUGGAGUUGGACAAACUGUGAGAAAAUGAAUUUUUCAGAACUUCAACGGCUACUAGACCAGUUGGCAAA
rnacentral:lncRNA from 1 species